GGGGUUUUGGCGAGGCCGCGAGGGUGCCAUAGUGCGCUUUCUUGUUGUUCAUGUUGUAGACCAUCUCGUCCAUCACCGUAUUGGCCAUGCCCAUCGCCGCGGCGGCGAGCACGUCCAGCACUCUGCACCGUCUCCCGUCUGUGCAGGUCGACCUCGUCCACAGCUGACUUGCAGCAGGGCUGGCGCCAGCUCAAGGCGGCGGCCUCCCGUCUGUGCUGGAAGGCGGCGCCGGGCUGCGGCCAGAGAGACGGCGAGAGGGCGCAAGGUAGCCGGACCGUAGUGACCUCGCACGCUGACGGCGGGAGGGCUCCAUAAGGUGGUUGGGCAAGCCGCAAGCGUCGUCGUCAGAGAACGGUUGCGAGUUGUCUGGGAGUGACGGCGCGUUGCCAGACGCAUCACGCGUCUGACUGCCAUGGCGACAUCGAGGUCUUGUGAUGCCAGAGGCGCCCGUCUCUCGAUCGCGCGCCUUUCCUACGCCGUCUGUUGUCCUGCCUAUCAUGUUCACGUUUGUGAUGAUCGGAGACCUAGAAGCUUCACCGCCCUCCAUGCCGAAUCCACUAUGAUCAUUGCACACAAUAUCGAACACAUGCAGGUGCGCGUGAUUUCUCACCUCUUAUUUGGAGCUGCUGAGGACUAUGGGAGGCGGCCCAGGCGAUCAUCUCGUUCCCGCCAUAGCCGAGCAUGAUAUGGCAGGUUCGGAGCAUCUGGUGCCCGACUUGAGGAACCGGCCAUAUGAUCAGUGGUUGUGUGAUCCCACAUACGCAAAGCGGAGGCGGAGGAGAGGCGUCGUCGGAAGGGCGAUGGGGUGGCCAGCGCCGGGAGGGAAAAUGGGGGCCCGACGGUCGAGGCUUGGCAGAAGGACAGGCCAACAACAAAGUCAUGGAAGAGACGACCGCAUGCAUCUAUCGGUGGGAUUUGGGAGAUAUGCGACCAAAGAGG
rnacentral:lncRNA from 1 species